UCCUCUUUACAGAGGCAGUUCGUUCCGAGUCCCCGACUUUACUCGCUGGUAACAGAACGUGAGGGUUGCGCUCGUUGCAGGACUUAACCCAACAUUUCACAACACGAGCUGACGACAGCCAUGCACCACCUGUGUAUCACCUUCGAAAGCGACCGCUUUUCGACGGCUUGCAGAUACAUGUCAAGCCCUGGUAAGGUUCUUCGCAUUGCAUCGAAUUAAGCCAUAUGCUCCACCGCUUGUGCGGGCCCCCGCCAAUUCCUUUGAGUUUCAACCUUGCGGCCGUAAUCCCCAGACGGCUCACUUAAUGCGUUAGCUGCGGCACCGAAGGAAACCCCCCGACACCUAGUGAGCAUCGUUUAAGGCCAAGACUAC
rnacentral:misc_RNA from 1 species